GUAACACGUGAGUAACCUGCCCUUGACUCUGGGAUAAGCCUGGGAAACUGGGUCUAAUACCGGAUAUGACCAUCUGGCGCAUGUCAUGGUGGUGGAAAGCUUUUUGUGGUUUUGGAUGGACUCGCGGCCUAUCAGCUUGUUGGUGGGGUAAUGGCCUACCAAGGCGACGACGGGUAGCCGGCCUGAGAGGGUGACCGGCCACACUGGGACUGAGACACGGCCCAAACUCCUACGGGAGGCAGCAGUGGGGAAUAUUGCACAAUGGGCGCAAGCCUGAUGCAGCGACGCCGCGUGAGGGAUGACGGCCUUCGGGUUGUAAACCUCUUUCAGUAGGGAAGAAGCCUUUCGGGGUGACGGUACUUGCAGAAGAAGCGCCGGCUAACUACGUGCCAGCAGCCGCGGUAAUACGUAGGGCGCAAGCGUUAUCCGGAAUUAUUGGGCGUAAAGAGCUCGUAGGCGGUUUGUCGCGUCUGCUGUGAAAGACCGGGGCUCAACUCCGGUUCUGCAGUGGGUACGGGCAGACUAGAGUGCAGUAGGGGAGACUGGAAUUCCUGGUGUAGCGGUGAAAUGCGCAGAUAUCAGGAGGAACACCGAUGGCGAAGGCAGGUCUCUGGGCUGUAACUGACGCUGAGGAGCGAAAGCAUGGGGAGCGAACAGGAUUAGAUACCCUGGUAGUCCAUGCCGUAAACGUUGGGCACUAGGUGUGGGGGACAUUCCACGUUUUCCGCGCCGUAGCUAACGCAUUAAGUGCCCCGCCUGGGGAGUACGGCCGCAAGGCUAAAACUCAAAGGAAUUGACGGGGGCCCGCACAAGCGGCGGAGCAUGCGGAUUAAUUCGAUGCAACGCGAAGAACCUUACCAAGGCUUGACAUGGACCGGAAAGACCUGGAAACAGGUGCCCCGCUUGCGGCCGGUUUACAGGUGGUGCAUGGUUGUCGUCAGCUCGUGUCGUGAGAUGUUGGGUUAAGUCCCGCAACGAGCGCAACCCUCGUUCUAUGUUGCCAGCGGUUCGGCCGGGGACUCAUAGGAGACUGCCGGGGUCAACUCGGAGGAAGGUGGGGACGACGUCAAAUCAUCAUGCCCCUUAUGUCUUGGGCUUCACGCAUGCUACAAUGGCCGGUACAAAGGGUUGCGAUACUGUGAGGUGGAGCUAAUCCCAAAAAGCCGGUCUCAGUUCGGAUUGGGGUCUGCAACUCGACCCCAUGAAGUCGGAGUCGCUAGUAAUCGCAGAUCAGCAACGCUGCGGUGAAUACGUUCCCGGGCCUUGUACACACCGCCCGUCAAGUCACGAAAGU
rnacentral:rRNA from 1 species